rnacentral:rRNA from 1 species
GAUGAACGCUAGCGGGAGGCCUAACACAUGCAAGCCGAGCGGUAUUGUUUCUUCGGAAAUGAGAGAGCGGCGUACGGGUGCGGAACACGUGUGCAACCUGCCUUUAUCUGGGGGAUAGCCUUUCGAAAGGAAGAUUAAUACUCCAUAAUAUAUUGAACGGCAUCGUUUAAUAUUGAAAGCUCCGGCGGAUAGAGAUGGGCACGCGCAAGAUUAGCUAGUUGGUGAGGUAACGGCUCACCAAGGCGAUGAUCUUAGCGGGUCUGAGAGGAUGAUCCGCCACACUGGAACUGAGACACGGUCCAGACUCCUACGGAGGCAGCAGUGGGGAAUUUGGACAAUGGGGGCAACCCGUGAUCCAGCCAUGCCGCGUGAGUGAAG